GAUGAACGCUGGCGGCGUGCCUAAUACAUGCAGGUCGAGCGAACAGACGAGGAGCUUGCUCCUCUGACGUUAGCGGCGGACGGGUGAGUAACACGUGGAUAACCUACCUAUAAGACUGGGAUAACUUCGGGAAACCGGAGCUAAUACCGGAUAAUAUAUUGAACCGCAUGGUUCAAUAGUGAAAGACGGUUUUGCUGUCACUUAUAGAUGGAUCCGCGCCGCAUUAGCUAGUUGGUAAGGUAACGGCUUACCAAGGCAACGAUGCGUAGCCGACCUGAGAGGGUGAUCGGCCACACUGGAACUGAGACACGGUCCAGACUCCUACGGGAGGCAGCAGUAGGGAAUCUUCCGCAAUGGGCGAAAGCCUGACGGAGCAACGCCGCGUGAGUGAUGAAGGUCUUCGGAUCAUAAAACUCUGUUAUUAGGGAAGAACAAAUGUGUAAGUAACUAUGCACGUCUUGACGGUACCUAAUCAGAAAGCCACGGCUAACUACGUG
rnacentral:rRNA from 1 species